UGAGGAAUAUUGGUCAAUGGGCGCAAGCCUGAACCAGCCAUGCCGCGUGCGGGAAGACGGUCCUAUGGAUUGUAAACUGCUUUUGUACGGGAAGAAACACUCCUACGUGUAGGAGCUUGACGGUACCGUAAGAAUAAGGAUCGGCUAACUCCGUG
rnacentral:rRNA from 1 species